GAUGAAGAACGCAGCGAAAUGCGAUACUUGGUGUGAAUUGCAGAAUCCCGUGAACCAUCGAGUCUUUGAACGCAAGUUGCGCCCGAAGCCAUUAGGCCGAGGGCACGCCUGCCUGGGCGUCACACGUCGUUGCCCCCCCCAUCUACUCCUUCGGGAUUGCGGGGGGCGGAUGAUGGCCUCCCGUGCGCCUCGCCGCGCGGUUGGCAUAAAUGCCAAGUCCUCGGCGACGCACGCCACGACAAUCGGUGGUUGCGAAACCUCGGUUGCACGUCGUGUGCGGUCGUCGCGCAUCGAGGGCUCGAAAAAAUUGCCGAGUUCCGGCUCGGCUUUCAACGCGACCCCAGGUCAGGCGGGGUUACCCGCUGAAUUUAAGCAUAUCAAUAAGCGGAGGA
rnacentral:misc_RNA from 1 species